GAUGAAGAACGCAGCGAAAUGCGAUAAGUAAUGUGAAUUGCAGAAUUCAGUUAAUCAUCGAAUCUUUGAACGCACAUUGCGCCCAUUAGUAUUCUAGUGGGCAUGCCUGUUCGAGCGUCAUUAAGUCCACUUAAGCCCUGCUUAGUGUUGGGAGACUGCUCCAGCGGUGCUACCCUGUAGCUACCCUGCAGCUCCUCAAAGACAGCGGCGGAGUUGUGGUAUCCUCUGAGCUUAGUAACUUGUUCUAGCUUUCGAGUACACCACUUCCCCUGCCGUAAAACCCUUAAUUUUUAAUGGUUGACCUCGGAUCAGGUAGGAAUACCCGCUGAACUUAAGCAUAUCAAUAAGCGGAGA
rnacentral:misc_RNA from 1 species